GACGAACGCUGGCGGCGUGCUUAACACAUGCAAGUCGAACGGCAAGGCCCUGCUUUUGUGGGGUGCCCGAGGGGCGAACGGGUGAGGAACACGAGAGUAACGUGCUCUUGAUUUUGGGAUAACUUCAGGUAACUGGGGCUAAUAUCGGAUAGGAGCCCCCGUAGCAGGGAGGGGGGUGGAAAGUCUGGGCGGGUGGGGAUGGACUCGCGGAUUAUCAGCUUGUUGGUGGGGUAGUGGCUUACCAAGGCGUGGACGGGUAGCCGGCCUGAGAGGGUGACCGGCCACCAUGGGCCUGCGGUACGGCCCAGACUCCUACGGGGGGCAGCGGUGGGGAAUCUUGCCCAAUGGGCGCACGCGUGAUGCAGCAGCGCCGCGUUCGGAAUGCCGGCCUUCGGGGUGAAAACCGCUUUAGCCUGUGACGACGCGGGAGUGACGGUACUGGGUGAAGAAGCACCGGCUAACUACGUG
rnacentral:rRNA from 1 species